rnacentral:misc_RNA from 1 species
AAGUCGUAACAAGGUUUCCGUAGGUGAACCUGCGGAAGGAUCAUUAAAGAGUUAGGGGCUUUGCCCCGAACCUCCAACCCAUUGUGAACCUUACCACCGUUGCUUUGGCGGACCUGCGGGUCCGACCCGCCGCCCCGGCGGAGCGUCCGCCGAAGACCCCACCAAACUCGUUUAACAGUGACGUCUGAGCAAACACAAAAUAGCAAAAAA